rnacentral:rRNA from 1 species
UGGGGAAUAUUGCACAAUGGGCGCAAGCCUGAUGCAGCCAUGCCGCGUGUAUGAAGAAGGCCUUCGGGUUGUAAAGUACUUUCAGCGGGGAGGAAGGGAGUAAAGUUAAUACCUUUGCUCAUUGACGUUACCCGCAGAAGAAGCACCGGCUAACUCCGUGCCAGCAGCCGCGGUAAUACGGAGGGUGCAAGCGUUAAUCGGAAUUACUGGGCGUAAAGCGCACGCAGGCGGUUUGUUAAGUCAGAUGUGAAAUCCCCGGGCUCAACCUGGGAAAUGCAUCUGAUACUGGCAGGCUUGAGUCUCGUAGGAGGGGGUAGAAUUCCAGGUGUAGCGGUGAAAUGCGUAGAGAUCUGGAGGAAUACCGGUGGCGAAGGCGGCCCCCUGGACGAAGACUGACGCUCAGGUGCGAAAGCGUGGGGAGCAAACAGG